CGGCGCACAUAAGACAUGCAAGUCGAACGAACUUAAUUCAUCUUUAGAUUGAAAGCGGUUAGUGGCGGACUGGUGAGUACAACAUAAGCAACCUGCCUAUAAGAGGGGAACAACAGUUAGAAAUGACUGCUAAUACCGCAUAUGGCCAUAGUAAUCACAUGAUUAUAGUGGGAAAGGAGCAAUCCGCUUAUAGAUGGGCUUAUGGCCUGAUUAGCUAGUUGGUGGGGUAACGGCCUACCAAGGCGACGAUCAGUAGCCGAACUGAGAGGUUAAACGGCCACAUUGGGACUGAGAUACGGCCCAGACUCCUACGGGAGGCAGCAGUCGGGAAUAUUGCGCAAUGGAGGAAACUCUGACGCAGUGACGCCGCGUGCAGGAAGAAGGUUUUCGGAUUGUAAACUGCUUUAGACAGGGAAGAAAAAAGACAGUACCUGUAGAAUAAGCUCCGGCUAACUACGUGCCAGCCGCAGC
rnacentral:rRNA from 1 species